rnacentral:rRNA from 1 species
UGAGCAAUCUGCCCUUCUCUUCGGAAUAAGCGUUGGAAACGACGUCUAAUGCCGAAUACGACCUCCUUUCGCAUGAUCGGAGGUGGAAAGCUCCGGCGGAGAAGGAUGAGCUCGCGGCCUAUCAGCUAGUUGGUGUGGGUAAUGGCCCACCAAGGCGACGACGGGUAGCCGGCCUGAGAGGGUGACCGGCCACACUGUGACUGAGACACGGCCCAGACCUCCGUACGGGAGCAG